rnacentral:rRNA from 1 species
CAGCAGCCGCGGUAAUACGUAGGGUGCAAGCGUUAAUCGGAAUUACUGGGCGUAAAGCGUGCGCAGGCGGUUAUAUAAGACAGAUGUGAAAUCCCCGGGCUCAACCUGGGAACUGCAUUUGUGACUGUAUAGCUAGAGUACGGCAGAGGGGGAUGGAAUUCCGCGUGUAGCAGUGAAAUGCGUAGAUAUGCGAAGGAACACCGAUGGCGAAGGCAAUCCCCUGGGCCUGUACUGACGCUCAUGCACGAAAGCGUGGGGAGCAAACAGGAUUAGAUACCCCGGUAGUCCCUGUCUCUUAUAC